GUCCAGACUCCUACGGGAGGCAGCAGUGGGGGAUAUUGCACAAUGGGGGAAACCCUGAUGCAGCGACGCCGCGUGAAGGAAGAAGUAUUUCGGUAUGUAAACUUCUAUCAGCAGGGAAGAAAGUGACGGUACCUGACUAAGAAGCCCCGGCUAACUACGUGCCAGCAGCCGCGGUAAUACGUAGGGGGCAAGCGUUAUCCGGAUUUACUGGGUGUAAAGGGAGCGUAGGCGGCGAUGCAAGUCAGAAGUGAAAGCCCGGGGCUCAACUCCGGGACUGCUUUUGAAACUGUAUGGCUAGAUUGCAGGAGAGGCAAGUGGAAUUCCUAGUGUAGCGGUGAAAUGCGUAGAUAUUAGGAGGAACACCAGUGGCGAAGGCGGCUUGCUGGACUGUAAAUGACGCUGAGGCUCGAAAGCGUGGGGAGCAAACAGGAUUAGAUACCCUCGUAA
rnacentral:rRNA from 1 species